rnacentral:rRNA from 1 species
UACGUAGGGGGCAAGCGUUGUCCGGAAUCAUUGGGCGUAAAGCGCGCGUAGGCGGCCCUGUAAGUCCGUUGUGAAAGUCAAAGGCUCAACCUUUGAAAGCCGAUGGAUACUGCAGGGCUAGAGUCCGGAAGAGGCGAGUGGAAUUCCUGGUGUAGCGGUGAAAUGCGCAGAUAUCAGGAGGAACACCAGCGGCGAAGGCGGCGCUCUGGGCCGGUACUGACACUGAGGAGCGAAAGCGUGGGGAGCAAACAGG